CACGUAGGGCGCAAGCGUUGUCCGGAAUUAUUGGGCGUAAAGAGCUCGUAGGCGGUCUGUUGCGUCCGCUGUGAAAGUCCAGGGCUCAACUGGAAUGCCGGUGGAUACUGCGGGGCUAGAGUCCGGAAGGGGCGAGUGGAAUUCCUGGUGUAGCGGUGAAAUGCGCAGAUAAUCAGGAGGAACACCGAUGGCGAAGGCAGGUC
rnacentral:rRNA from 1 species